CAAUAGCGUAUAUUAAAGUUGUUGCAGUUAAAAAGCUCGUAGUUGGAUUUCUGGUUGAAGCGACCGGUCGGGCGUUGAUUCGUCUGCACUGGAGUCGGUUUUGGCCAUCCUCUAGGAAAGUGCGUCUGGUAUUAAGUUAUCGGGCGUAUGAUCCUGGUCUUUUACUGUGAAAAAAUUAGAGUGUUUAAAGCAGGCCUUCGCCUUGAAUACAUUAGCAUGGAAUAAUAAGAUAGGACUUUGGUCUAUUUUGUUGGUUUGCAGACCGAAGUAAUGAUUAAUAGGGAUAGUUUGGGGUAUUUAUAUUCCGAUGUCAGAGGUGAAAUUCUUAGAUUUUCGGAAGAUAAACUUAUGCGAAAGCAUUUACCAAGGAUGUUUUCAUUAA
rnacentral:rRNA from 1 species